UACGAAGGGGGCUAGCGUUGCUCGGAAUCACUGGGCGUAAAGGGUGCGUAGGCGGGUCUUUAAGUCAGGCGUGAAAGCCCCGGGCUCAACCUGGGAACCGCGCUUGAGACUGGCACGCUAGAGUUCGGGAGAGGAUGGUGGAAUUCCCAGUGUAGAGGUGAAAUUCGUAGAUAUUGGGAAGAACACCGAUGGCGAAGGCAGCCAUCUGGACCGACACUGACGCUGAGGCGCGAAAGCGUGGGGAGCAAACAGG
rnacentral:rRNA from 1 species